rnacentral:rRNA from 1 species
CGGACGGGUGAGUAACGCGUGGGUAACCUGCCUUGUACAGGGGGAUAACAGUUGGAAACGGCUGCUAAUACCGCAUAAGCGCACGGCAUCGCAUGAUGCAGUGUGAAAAACUCCGGUGGUAUAAGAUGGACCCGCGUUGGAUUAGCUAGUUGGUGAGGUAACGGCCCACCAAGGCGACGAUCCAUAGCCGGCCUGAGAGGGUGAACGGCCACAUUGGGACUGAGACACGGCCCAG